CCACGAAAAGGCAAACCUGCUGCGAGGCAGGGACGCAAAGCCAUGGGGCCCCCGAGGUCCGCCAGGCUGCCGAAC
rnacentral:ncRNA from 1 species